UUACAGUAUUAUCUAAAAUAACACACUUUCCUCGCUCAUAUUUUUAAUGCUUAGUGAAAAAUGAGAUGAAAACGCAAAUGCUAAAUAAAUUCUUUUUAUAUUAUGAAGUAAUUUUGUAUGAAAACAAUACAUAUACAAGGUGAAUAGCAGAGGGCAAAAUGGUAUAAAACACAUCCUAUGACAUCAAUAACUGUGCAGAAAUAGUCUGAUCCAAUGCAGGGAAUCUAG
rnacentral:lncRNA from 1 species